UGUUCGAGCGCCAUUACAAACCUCAAGCCUUGCUUGGUGAUGGGCCCCGCCUGUGUGGCGGCCCGAAACUCGUGGCGCCCCAGGCCGGACUCCAAGCGUAGCAAAACCCUCGCUUGCGGACGACCGGUCGGAGGCCGCCCCGGACCCCAAUUUUAUCAAUGGUUGGCCUCGGAUCAGGUGGGGAUACCCGCUGAACUUAA
rnacentral:misc_RNA from 1 species